CGGCUGAGGACAGACAUUUGUGUCUGCAGCCAGAGCUUCAGCUUUUUCUUUCCGUGGAGCUGCUGAACUGCUUCUGACAAUUACUUUAAGUGGAGGGCAGUGUUUACACUUCCCAGCUUCAAUGAGGUUUCUCCAGCUCAUUGUGGUAUUCAUUGCUGUAUUAAUUGCACAAGUACAGAAGCUUGUGGUAUUGUGCAAAAUGCUAAUAACAGAUCUUAAUGACUGUGUACUUCCCUCUCCUUCUCCAGUCUGUGUCUUAUUGAUGUUUUCAUUAAACAGUCCAAACAGCGAGGCUGGAUGCACACAGCAAAAUGUCUCCACCUCAUCAGAGAAAAAGACAAAUCCUUAAAGAAAUUGGCAGCUGGAGGAUGCCAGACACCUCGCUCUGAGGACAAAUAAAAGCACUCUGAAUAAUCGUGUAAGAAUUAAUAGGAGGGAUGGCAGAGGGAGAGACUGCGCCUUCCUCCACACAGCUCACGGAAAGGCAGCUAGCAGUAGGACAUUAAAAGGUCUGUGCGUUUCGGCUUAUGUUGCCAAGGGAACUUGGCAGUAUUGGUGGGAAGCUAGGCUGAUGUCCCCCUUCUAGCUGCACAGGACUCCAGCAAGCCUGAUGGCUGCACAGUUCACGAUCGCAGGGAAAAAGGACCUUUUCUUGCCUCCUUCCCCCAACGCUUUUCCCCGUUAAUAUGGUCAAGUGGUGUUGAUUUCCAAACCACACCUGAGAUGUGGAAGACAAGUGUAGGAGGGAGACAGAC